CUUGUUUUAAUGAAGAUGGCUUCUCAAAUCUCUGUGCUCCUGUUUCUCUGCUGCACUAAGAAAUAGGCAGAAUUGUCUUCCUGUUUGAAAUGAGUUUGAAAAGGCCAUUGGAACAGAGAAACACGAAUCAACAAAAUUUCCCAUUUGGCAACCUUGUAUCGUUUGAAUGAACAGCCACCAUCAGGGAAGACAAGGGAAGGAUGGAGUGAGCCAGCACCAGCACCUCUGGAGGCAGCUCAGGCGUGAGCUUGGAGAUGGUGGAGAGCCUAUGGGAUUCGUUACCACAGAAAGCAGUCAUCAAGACCAAACCAUUGUAUGAUUUCAAGCAGGAGUUCAAUCUGGACCUUGAAGUUAAAAGGAAUCAAAGGAUACGUGGGGGGAAAGCAGGAAGAAAGUAUUGAGUUGUGUGAUUAGUUAUGAUCGUAACGAAUGGCAGAGCAGGCUGAACGGGCCGAAUGGCGACUGUGGCUCUCAUUUUCUACAUUAACCCCACCAGGAUAAUGUUCAGACUUUCAUAUGGAAUUAGAUGUUACAACAGAAGGGAAAUUUUGAGUGUUAAAUCGGUUUCACUGAUAUUUCUGUUCAAGUUGUGUGUCAACGUUGUUCAAUACCGAUAAUAAAUGGGAGGUCAUGACUCAUGCAGCAGGCAGCUAAUCAGCAUUAUUUUUUCCAGACAUUUCUGAUGUCAGCCAAUGGAAUUUCUAUUCAUUGCAAGUAAACCUGACGGGGGGCUUUACAAUGUCCAAAUUCAAGGGACAGAAUUGGUUAAAAAAAAACAAGAUGCUUCCAGUGUUCCCAUGAAAAAUAACUUUCCAGCUGAUAUUUAGUGUGUUUCUUUUUCCCCAAAGCUUUUUCUCCAAUUAAAUAUCAAUUGCUUAUUAGGUCAUUCUUUGAUUCUGCUACUUCUUGAAUCAUUCAAAAAAAUCAUUUGGCAAGUCCUUGUUUAUGAGUCAUUUUUUAAAUUCUCAAACCACAUCAACUUAUGCUACAAGUGGAAUUAGA